rnacentral:rRNA from 1 species
CCUACGGGGGGCAGCAGUGAGGAAUAUUGGUCAAUGGGCGGGAGCCUGAACCAGCCAAGUCGCGUGAGGGACGACGGUCCUAUGGGUUGUAAACCUCUUUUGUAGGGGAACAAAGGCGCCCACGGGUGGGCGGAUGAGAGUACCCGAAGAAAAAGCAUCGGCUAACUCCGUGCCAGCAGCCGCGGUAAUACGGAGGAUGCGAGCGUUAUCCGGAUUUAUUGGGUUUAAAGGGUGCGUGGGCGGACAGUAAAGUCAGCGGUAAAAAUGCGGUGUUCAACGCCGUACUGCCUUUGAUACUUGCAGUCUAGAGUGGGCGAGAGGUAGGCGGAAUGCGUGGUGUAGCGGUGAAAUGCAUAGAGAUCAUGCAGAACACCGAUUGCGAAGGCAGCUUACCGGGGCCCGUCUGACGCUGAGGCACGAAAGCGUGGGUAGCGAACAGGAUUAGAUACCCUUGUAGUC